AACGAACGCUGGCGGCGUGGAUUAGGCAUGCAAGUCGAACGAUCUACUGUAAUGUGGAGAGUGGCAAAAGGGUGAGUAACGCAUAGGUAAUCUGCCUUAUGGUUCGGAAUAACCUUGCGAAAGCGAUGUUAAUACCGGAAACAUCCUUGACACAUAAGUGUCGAGGAUUAAAGCUGGGGACCCCAACAGGGCCUGGCGCCAAAAGAGGAGCCUGUGUCCUAUCAGCUUGUUGGUAGGGUAACGGCCUACCAAGGCUAAGACGGGUAGCUGGUCUGAGAGGAUGGUCAGCCACACUGGGACUGAGACACUGCCCAGACUCCUACGGGAGGCUGCAGUCGAGAAUCUUUUGCAAUGGGCGAAAGCCUGACAAUGCGACGCCGCGUGAGCGACGAAGCCCUUCGGGGUGUAAAGCUCUGUCAGUCCGGAUGAAUAUUCGUUUUAUAAUAUAGAACGGAGAUGACAGUACGGGCAGAGGAAGCCACGGCUAACUCCGUGCCAGCAGCCGCGGUAAUACGGAGGUGGCAAGCGUUGCUCGGAUUUAUUGGGUGUAAAGGGUGUGUAGGUGUCUUGAUAAGUCGAAUGUGAAAUCCCUUGGCUCAACCAAGGAAGUGCAUUCGAUACUGUCAAGAUUGAGCGUGGAAGAGGGGAGCGGAAUUCCCGGUGUAAGGGUGAAAUCUGUAGAUAUCGGGAGGAACACCAGUGGCGAAAGCGGCUCUCUGGUCCAAUGCUGACACUGAAACACGAAAGCUAAGGGAGCAAACAGGAUUAGAUACCCUGGUAGUCUUAGCAGUAAACGAUGGACACUAGGUGCAGGUCGUUAAGGUCUGUGCCGUAGUUAACACAUUAAGUGUCCCACCUGGGGAGACGGCGGCAACGUU
rnacentral:rRNA from 1 species